rnacentral:rRNA from 1 species
CGUGUAGGCGGACUCGCAAGUCGGUUGUGAAAUCCCUGGGCUCAACCUAGGAACUGCAUUCGAAACUGCUUGUCUUGAGUAAUGGAGAGGGUGGCGGAAUUCCCGGUGUAGAGGUGAAAUUCGUAGAUAUCGGGAGGAACAUCAGUGGCGAAGGCGGCCACCUGGACAUUUACUGACGCUGAGACGCGAAAGCGUGGGGAGCAAACAGGAUUAGAUACCCUGGUAGUCC